AGCAAUCCUCCCACCUCAGCCUCCUGAGUAGCUGCGACUAUGGCAACAUGGCCAAUCUUGCCUAAGCUGCUCCCCUUACUAGAAAAGGAAUCAUACUGCUAGGAAUUCAAACUUCAGCAGUCAUGGGUAAGUAAGGAAGUCUUAUAAAUCUAUUCUAGCCACCUAACAAGAAACCUGAAAUUUAGCAAGCUCUUUCAAUUUCAGGACAGUUGUGUUCACUAGAUCGGAGGCAUGAAGAACUGACCCCUAAAAAGGGAAAGUGUUCCUUUCAGUUUUAGGACAUCACUGGAACAUUCGGGAAGUGGGAACACAGCUGCCUGCUCUAGAGUAUGGGUUGCGUUUGUGUCUGGAAUGUGUCUGACGUCCUGAUCCCUGUGUCCAUUUCAGGGAGCCUUGGGAGGAGCCUGAGUCACUGAUGGAAUUGGACAGUGCAUGGAGAUGCUUCAGCAGGACGUGGGUAAGUGCAGGGGCAAGUCCAGGUCAUACUGAGAGAGAAUGAGUGGUGUUGAUGGGGACAGACAAAGGUAAAAUCCAAGGUCUGUGCUUCAUCUUCAAAAACUCAAACUAAUAACAAACUGGGCCUUACGAGAAAUCAUAAGCAUUUUUCUAUUUACGUGGGAAUUUAAUCUCAAAACAGGAAUCAGAAAAAUAUUAAGUCCAGGGCAUAAAACCUAAACCAUUGCUCAUAUUUAUUCUUUCUAAAUAGAGCAAAGUGUAAAAUCAUCUCCAUAAAACGUACACUGUGGUUAUAAAAAGGCAAAAGUCUUAGUGAGAAUCAUUGGUAUUCCAUAGAAGAGUGAAUUAAACACAGCCAAGGGAAGACCCAAGUCUCAUACUUCUCCUGUAUAUUCCAAAGUUUCAGGGAAAUUCCAGGUGAUAGAGGUUAUUUCCCAUAAUAUUAAAGCAAGGUUUCAGACACUUGAGAAUUUUGGUCCCAGUACUCUAGGAGGGGACACCUCUGUCCUGGAAAAUAAUCCAGGUAUGUUUACUCUUCCUGUGACUCAUUCUGGUCAUUCUUCCAGCAUCACAAAGACCAAAAAAUGGAAAUAUGUCCAAAGACAUGCUUUGCUAUCCCUCUUCUUCAGGUUUCUUACCUGUUACAUAUGGAUAAUAGCAUUACCUUAAGGAUUAUGGUGAAGAUACAACAUCCAAAUAUGAGCACAGUUUUGAGCAAAAUGCCUUGUACGAAUUGUGCUGAAAACUCAUCCCUGUGUGACCUCAAGUAAGCCAUGUAACUUUGUGAACCUGCAGUUUUAUCAUUUUUAAAAUGAAGAAACUUGACAGAUUUUCAUUAUGACACAGAACGUCAGGUCUCCCAGACCCUGGAAAAUACAUUUACUUAAAGCUGUUGAUACCUCUCAAAGCAGUAUCCUUACAGUGUCAUUGGAGGACAGUGCGGGCUGCAGUGAGGCACGCCUUCAAAUGGGAUUGAUCCAGUCCUCGUUCCUUCACUUCCACAUGAAUGCUGAGCGGCCCAGGAUCACACCCAGUGCACCCACAACUCAGGCAAGUCCAGCAGCCAAUCCUAGGAGACCUGGGCUACAGAACAGUCUCCCAAGUUCCAGGCUCACAAAACCUCGGUGGGGAUGGAAGCUGAGAAAGUGAGGAGGUGGCUCAGGGGAUUGCUCUUUCCUACUCAUUCCUCUCAUCUCAAACUCACCUUCUGCUGCACCAGUGAGGAUCACCAGCCAACCCUGACCAUAACCUUGAUCUUGCCAUGUUCUGUUAGUGAAAUGAAACCAAAAAUGAAUGGUGUUAGUCCAACUCAACAAAAUAUAUAUCAAAACAUAUUCCAUAAGAACCGCUCAUGGCCCUGUUCUUUCCAGUAUAUGGGAAAACGAAAGGGAAACAACAAAAUAGCGUCAGGUUUAUGAAACUUCCUAAGAUAGAUGGUCACACAGGCUUUCAGGAGACCGCUAUAUACAUGAGUUUGAUCACUUGAUACCUUGAAAAGAGUUCCUGAGGCACUAGAAUGACAUCCAGAAUUGACAAGUAUGAAAUGUGGUGCUCAGUGCCAUUAAAUACAAAUCAACCCACAUAGAGGAAGAGCUUUGGACAUAGGGAUGUCAAACUGGUCUAGAGUGUAAUGAAAAGCCAAGAUGGUGCCCCAGUAAGAAAAAAGAAAUCAACAUAACAAUGAGAUGCAGCAAGAAGAAUACUGAGACAGGAAAGAAAACAUUUUUAAAAAAAGAAUUAUUCAUUCAUUUUCUAGUGGAUAGAGAAAAAAUUGCAGAAGAUGCAGAGGAUAUCAGUUUCGUAUCUUACACUUGUAGAAAAGGCUUAAGAUCAGUUUUAACUUAGAACAGGUGGGGUGACUUCAUGACUGCCAUUAAGAAAAUAUAACCUGUUGGGAAACUGUUUCUGCCUUGAUGAUGUUGUGCAGACAAGAGAUAAACAGUGAGGAAUGUGCUUAAAUGUAUUGGGAAAGAGAUGGGUCUGUGGCAUUGUCACAAAAGUAUGUGAAUAUUGAGAGUGAAUGGUGAAGGAAUGAGCCAAUUGGUGGUGACCAGGGUGCCUGUGUUUCAGCCAAGCUGGGGCAAUUGGAAUGGAGGCUCCUAAGAUUCCAUGACACCCCCACCUUCUAAUUCUGUUAUUGCAA